GUGCCAGCCGCCGCGGUAAUACGAAGGGGGCUAGCGUUAUCCGGAAUCACUGGGCGUAAAGGGUGCGUAGGUGGCUUAUCAAGCCAGAGGUGAAAUGCAGUGGCUCAACUAUUGAAAUCCUUUGGAACUGAUUAACUUGAAUGCAGGAAAAGUAAAUGGAAUUCCUAAUGGAAAAGUGAAAUUCCUAAAUAUUAGGAGGAACACCAAUGGCGAAAGCGACUUACUGGACUGUAACUGACACUGAGGCACGCAAAGCGUGGGUAGCGCAACAGGAUUAAAUACCCUGGUAAUCCACGCCCUAAACCAUGAAUACUAAGUGUCGGGCGUCAUAGCUCGGUGCCGCAGCAAACGCAUUAUGUAUUCCGCCUGGGGAGUACGCACGCAAGUGUGAAACUCAUCGGAAUUGACGGGGACCCGCACAACCAGCGGAGCAUGUGGUUUAAUUCUAAGCAACGCGAAGAACCUUACCAGGUCUUGACAUCCCUCUGAAGUAGCCUUACCCAGAUAUGUCCUUCCGGACAGGGUAGACAGGAGGCGCAUGCUUGUCGUCAGCUCGCGUCUCGAGAUGUUGGAUUAAGUCCCGCAUCCAGCGCAAACCUUGUGUUUAGUUGCUAACAGGCAAAGCUGUGCACUCUAAUCAAACUGCCAUGCAUACACUGAACGAAAGGGAGGAUGACGUCAAAUCAUCAUGCCCCUUAUGAUCUGGG
rnacentral:rRNA from 1 species